rnacentral:rRNA from 1 species
GAUGAACGCUGGCGGCGUGCCUAAUACAUGCAAGUCGAGCGGAGCGGGGACGGGUGAGUAACACGUGGAUAACCUCCUAUAAGACUGGGAUAACUUCGGGAAACCGGAGCUAUACCCGUUACUUAUAGAUGGGUCCGCGCUGCAUUAGCUAGUUGGUAAGGUAACGGCUUACCAAGGCAACGAUGCAUAGCCGACCUGAGAGGGUGAUCGGCCACACUGGAACUGAGACACGGUCCAGACUCCUACGGGAGGCAGCAGUGGGGAAUCUUCCGCAAUGGGCGAAAGCCUGAAGGAGCAACGCCGCGUGAGUGAUGAAGGGCUUCGGAUCGUAAAACUCUGUUAUUAGGGAAGCGGGAUCUAACCAGAAAGCCACGGCUAACUACGUGCCAGCAGCCGCGGUAAUAC